UGCAAACACCGCUUCUCGUAGGUUCACCAAAGUUAAGCAAUAUCGAGCCUGAUCAGUACCUAGAUGUAUGACUACUUGGGAAUACCAGGUGCUGCAAG